rnacentral:rRNA from 1 species
AAGAAUAAUUUUUGGUUAAGGAAUUUUAUAUAGUUAAGGAAGGUAAUUUUUUUUAUAUUUGUUUAUAAUUAUUUAUUUUAGAAGUUGUUAUAAUAAUAGUACUGUGAAGGAAAUAUUAAUUUUGUGGGUUAGUAUAAUUAAGUUUAUAGUACCUUUUGUAUCAGGGUAUUUUAAUUAGAUUUAUGAAUUUUAUUUUUCCCGAAAGGAAAUGAGUUAAUAAAGUUAUUAUUUAAAGUGUCAUAUUUAAAUUUUAAGGUUUUAUUAGGAGUGAGAUGCUAUUCGAAUUUUUUGAUAUCUGGUUAUUUUAAGAGAUUAUUUAAAUAAGUUUCUUAUUGAUUAAUUUUUAAAAUUAUAAUUUUUAAGAAUAUGAGAAUAUUAGGGUUAAGCUUAAUAUUAAAUUAUACUUUAUUUUUUUGUUAGUCUUAGAGGCUUAUGAAGUAGCUUUUUGUUUAAUAACAGUAUUAUUAAGAGCUAAAAAUGUUAAUUAGUUAUUAAGAUGAUUUUAUAUAUUUUUAUGUUUUUUUAUAAUGAAAUUAUUAGUAGAAUGAAUUAGUUAUAAUUUAGUUUUUAGAAAAAUUAUUUGAUAAUAUUAAAAUGUUUUAUUAUGUAAAGGAAUUCGGCAAAAGUAAGUUUCGUUUGUUUAUCAAAAACUUUUCUUUAAGAAUUAAUUUAAGGUCUUCCCUGCUCAAUGAUUAAUUUUAAAUAGCCGCAGUAUAUUGACUGUGCUAAGGUAGCAUAAUCAUUUGUUUCUUAAAUGGGAUCUAGUAUGAAGGGGUUAACGGGGCUAAACUGUCUUUAUGUAAUUAUUUUAAUUUAAAAUUUUAGUAAGAAUGCUAGAAUAAAACCAAAGGACGAUAAGACCCUAUAAAGCUUUAUUUAAUUAGUUUUUUAUAUGUUUACUUAUAAAAUGUAAAUAUAAAUUUUGCUGGGGCGGUAAUUUUGAUGAAACUUUUAUUGAAUAAUUUUUGAUCCAUUAAUAAUGAUAGUAGGAAUAAGUUACUUUAGGGAUAACAGUAUAAUUUAUUUAGGGAGAUCAAAUCGAAGGAUAAGUUUGUUACCUCGAUGUUGAAUUAAAUAUAUAAUAAGGUGAAGUAGCUUUAUUAAUCAGUCUGUUCGACUGUUAAAUAUUUACAUGAUUUGAGUUCAAACCGGUUUAAGCCAGGU